rnacentral:rRNA from 1 species
AUUGAACGCUGGCGGCAGGCCUAACACAUGCAAGUCGAGCGAGCGGCGGACGGGUGAGUAAUGUAUGGGGAUCUGCCUGAUGGAGGGGGAUAACUACUGGAAACGGAAGCCAAUACCGCAUACCAUCAGCUGAACCCAGUUGGGAUUAGCUAGUUGGUGAGGUAACGGCUCACCUAGGCGACGAUCCCUCGCUGGUCUGAGAGGAUGAUCAGCCACACUGGGAUUGAUACACGGCCCAGACUCCUACGGGAGGCAGCAGUGGGGAAUAUUGCACAAUGGGCGAAAGCCUGAUGCAGCCAUGCCGCGUGUAUGAAGAAGGCCUUCGGGUUGUAAAGUACUUUCAGUCGGGAGGCGUUACCGACAGAAGAAGCACCGGCUAACUCCGUGCCAGCAGCCGCGGUAAUAC